UACUGGCUUUAUAUCUCUGUGCUGUGCUCAGAGAUAUUGCAUGGGAGGAAUAACAACUGCUCUGAUGGCAUUUGCUGGGAUCCCCUUGACAGUUGAGCAGGCAAGCUGGUGCUACCAGUGGGCUGGCCUGUGUUUCUCUGAGUAAAUCUACUGCAAGAUACAGGGCUGAAAACAAAGACAUUCAAACCUUGAGCCAUUUAGAAGAGGAAGAAGCCAAAAUCUGUGCCAGAGGUUUGACUGCUGGGUUUACUCAUGGCUUCAGGUCAGGAUGACCUGCUAGAUAAUGAAGGCAAGAUCGGUUUCGUGGGGCUUGCUCUAUUGGGAGGAUUUUCUGAGAAGGAUCUGAGUAGCUGCUAGCUGGAUGGCUUCACUUCUGACCCCCCAGCCUGAGUGAGGUUUGCUGCUUGGAGGAUUCCUGGAAUGACACAGGGGCUCUAGCUGGAGUCAGGCCAGAACAUUAUAUAAA